GCCCCAGUGGCCUAAUGGACAAGGCACUGGCAACGUAAGCCAGGGAUUGUGGGUUCGAGUCCCAUCUCGGGUG
rnacentral:tRNA from 1 species